rnacentral:rRNA from 1 species
GGUUUGAUUAUGGCUCAGAUUGAAGGCGAUGCUUUUACACAUGCAAGUCGAACGGCAGCACGACUUCGGUCUGGUAUGGAGUAAGGAACGGGUGAGUAAUGUAUCGGAACGUGCCUAGUAGCGGGGAUAACUACGCGAAAGCGUAGCUAAUACCGCAUACGCCCUUCGGGGGAAAGCGGGGACCCGCCUCGCACUAUUAGAGCGGCCGAUAUCGGAUUAGCUAGUUGGUGUAAGUAACGGCUCACCAAGGCGACGAUCCUGUAGCUGGUUUGAGAGGACGUGACCAGCCACACUGGGACUGGAGACACGGCCCAGACUCCUACGGGAGGCAGCAGUGGGGAAUUUUGGACAAUGGGGAAACCCUGAUCCAGCCAUCCCGCGUGUGCGAUGAAGGCCUUCGGGUUGUAAAGCACUUUUGGUAGAAAGAAACGGCACGGGAUAAUACCCGUGCAACUGACGGUAUCGCAGAAUAAGCACCGGCUAACCAGCCGUGCCAGCAAUGGCGGUAAUACGUAGGGUGCAAGCGUUAAUCGGAAUUACUGGCGUAAGCGUGCGCAGGCGGUUCGGAAAGAAAGAUGUGAAAUCCCAGAGCUUAACCCUUUGGAACUGCAUUUUUAACUACCGAGCUAGAGGUCAGAGGGAGGUGGAAUUCGCGUGUGCAGUGAAAUGCGUAGAAGAUGCGGAGGAACACCGAUGGCGUAGCAGCCUCCUGGGAUAACACUGACGCUCAUGCACGAAAGCGUGGCACAGGAUUAGAUACCCUGGUAGUCCACGCCCUAAACGAUGUCAACUAGCUGCUGGGGCCUUCGCCUUGGUAGCGCAGCUAACGUUAGUGAAGACCGUCUGGGGAGUACGGUCGCAAGAUUAAAACUCAAAGGAAUUGACGGGGACCCGCACAAGCGGUGUGGAUGAUGGGGAUUAAUUCCGAUGCAACGCGAAAACCUUACCUACCCUUGACAUGUCUGGAAUCCCGAAGAGAUUUGGGAGCCUGCAAGAGAACCGGAACACAGGUGCUGCAUGGCUGUCGUCAGCUCGUGUCGUGAGAUGUUGGGUUAAGUCCCGCAACGAGCGCAACCCUUGUCAUUGCUGCUACGAAAGGGCACCUAAUGAGACUGCCGGUGACAAACCGGAGAAGGUGGAUGAUGUCGUCCUCAUGGCCCUUAUGGGUAGGGCUUGCCACACGUCAUACAAUGGUUUUACGAGUGGUCGUCAACCCCGCGAGGGAGCCAAUCCCAGAAACCCGAUCGUAUCCGAUCGCAGUCUGCAACUCGACUGCGAAGUCGGAAUCGCUAGUAAUCGCGGAUCAGCAUGUCGCGGUGAAUACGUUCCCGGGUCUUGCACACACCGCCCGUCACACCAUGGGAGUGGGUUUUACCAGAAGUAGUUAGUCAAACGUAAGGAGGGCGAUUACCACGGUAGGAUUCAUGACUGUGAAGUCGUAACAAGGUAGCUCUGUUACUAACCACCGCCCGU